AUGGGCCCCUACUUUUUAUUUUAUUUAUAAAUAAUUUGCCUUCAGCACUGUAUAGUAUUGUCUAAACAUUGGUUAAUAUUCUUAUGUUUGUAGAUGACGCAAAUGCACUUAUUAGAAAGGAAGACAUAAAAUCCUGCAUUGAGCAAACGCGGAUAGUUUUUGAUCUUAUCAGUAAUUGGUGUAGUCGAAACAGGCUCCUUCUCAAUGUGGAUAAAACUGAGUGCAUUAUGUUCAUUACUAAUAGAUCUAGGGAAAAUUUUCAAGAAAAUAUCCAUUUCAAUAAUACCAUCGUUGAAAUAGCACAAUCCACCAACUUCUUGGGAGAUCAUGUCGAUAAUAAAUUGAAUUGGUCCGAACAUAUACAUCAAUGAGGGAAAUGAAGUUUUUAUGAAGUGUGAAAGGGGUAACAAGAUUGAAUAGUUGGAGGGAUCAUUAUAAGGGUGACUUGGAGGUGGAAUCAUUGGAGAAUUAUAUUGGAGAAAAGCAAUGGGAUGGUGGGGGGCACUUUUAACGAAUGGAAGAAGAAAGACCAGCAACAUAUGGAAGGCAAAAGUGGAAAAAGGGAGUCUGAGACAAAAUUGAGAAAAGGGGAAGGGGAAAGAGCGUCGCAGAGGACAGGGCGUUUGCGAUGGGAAAGUGGAAACAUCAUGUACCAGUUGUUCGUCCUAUUCAAAUAAUACAUAUAUUAUAUGAAUAAUUCUUACCUUGCCUCUUUGUAUAGGUUUUUACUAAUUAGUUGGUCAAUAUAAAUCAUCCAAGCUC